rnacentral:sRNA from 1 species
CCAGGGGCCCAGAGCUGCUCUGAUCACCCAGGGAUUCUCUCUCCAACCCAAGUGCCUCCAGCUGACCUCUGGCUCCUGUCCUCUGGCCCCACCUGCACCACCCUGCUCUUCCUAAGGGGCCAGGAAGCCCCCAGAAGCUCUACCAUCGACGUGGGCGGUGGCACCCGGCUCACCCUGAGAGCAGAGGCCGUGCAGGGGGCUCGGUUCUGAGCCCCAGCCGGCCCACCAUGGCACGGCGGUUCCAGGAGGAGCUGGCCGCCUUCCUCUUCGAGUAUGACACCCCCCGCAUGGUGCUGGUGCGUAACAAGAAGGUGGGCGUUAUCUUCCGACUGAUCCAGCUGGUGGUCCUGGUCUACGUCAUCGGGUGGGUGUUUCUCUACGAGAAGGGCUACCAGACCUCGAGCGGCCUCAUCAGCAGUGUCUCUGUGAAACUCAAGGGCCUGGCCGUGACCCAGCUCCCUGGCCUCGGCCCCCAGGUCUGGGACGUGGCUGACUACGUCUUCCCAGCCCAGGGGGACAACUCCUUCGUGGUCAUGACCAAUUUCAUCGUGACCCCGAAGCAGACUCAAGGCUACUGCGCAGAGCACCCAGAAGGGGGCAUAUGCAAGGAAGACAGUGGCUGUACCCCUGGGAAGGCCAAGAGGAAGGCCCAAGGCAUCCGCACGGGCAAGUGUGUGGCCUUCAACGACACUGUGAAGACGUGUGAGAUCUUUGGCUGGUGCCCCGUGGAGGUGGAUGACGACAUCCCGCGGUAACACUCUGACCUUCCAGGGAGCUAAGAACAGGGUCCCAGGCCAGACGGAGGGGGGCCUGGGUCUAGAAGAGAUCUUUACCCCUUUUUCUGACCCCGCCCUCACCCCAUCCGCGCAGCCCAGGCUGAAGAUUCCCCUGGGUCCCGGCCACGCUACACACCCACCCCUCCGCCGGCCCAGGGCUGCAGGCAGGUCCCGGAGGCUCGGCCCACCCCCUGCUAUGCCAAGCUCUGUGUGGGACACACAGGGGGCCUCCUGGGGAGGGGCGGUGAGUGCGUGUGGUGUCCUCCAGCCCUGCCCUUCUCCGAGAGGCCGAGAACUUCACUCUUUUCAUCAAGAACAGCAUCAGCUUUCCACGCUUCAAGGUCAACAGGCGCAACCUGGUGGAGGAGGUGAAUGCUGCCUACAUGAAGACCUGCCUCUUUCACAAGACCCUGCACCCCCUGUGCCCAGUCUUCCAGCUUGGCUACGUGGUGCAAGAGUCAGGCCAGAACUUCAGCACCCUGGCUGAGAAGGGUGGAGUGGUUGGCAUCACCAUCGACUGGCACUGUGACCUGGACUGGCAUGUACGGCACUGCAGACCCAUCUAUGAGUUCCAUGGGCUGUACGAAGAGAAAAAUCUCUCCCCAGGCUUCAACUUCAGGUUUGCCAGGCACUUUGUGGAGAACGGGACCAACUACCGUCACCUCUUCAAGGUGUUUGGGAUUCGCUUUGACAUCCUGGUGGACGGCAAGGCCGGGAAGUUUGACAUCAUCCCUACAAUGACCACCAUCGGCUCUGGAAUUGGCAUCUUUGGGGUGGCCACAGUUCUCUGUGACCUGCUGCUGCUUCACAUCCUGCCUAAGAGGCACUACUACAAGCAGAAGAAGUUCAAGUACGCUGAGGACAUGGGGCCAGGGGCGGCUGAGCGUGACCUCGCAGCUACCAGCUCCACCCUGGGCCUGCAGGAGAACAUGAGGACAUCCUGAUGCUCGGGCCCCAACUCCUUACUGGGUGCAGCGUGAGGCUUCAGCCUGGAGCCCUGGUGGGUCCCAGCCAGGGCAGAGGGGCCUCCCCAGGAAGUCUCCUACCCUCUCAGCCAGGCAGAGAGCAGUUUGCCAGAAGCUCAGGGUGCAUAGUAGGAGAGACCUGUGCAAAUCUGAGCUCUGGCUCCGACCCCACACACCCUGAGGGAGCCCUACCCUAGCCUCAGCCGCUCCUGGUGGGGAAUGGCUGGGGCUGGGCAGGACCCUCCCACACACCUGCACCCUAGCUUUGUGCUUCUCUCUCCGGACUCUCAUUAUCCAACCCGCUGCCUCCAUUUCUCUAGAUCUGUGCUCUCCAAUGUGGCAGUCAGUAACCAUAGGUGACUAAAUUAAACUAAAAUAAAAUAGAAUGAAACACAAAAUUCAAUUCCUCAGCUGAACUAGCCACAUUUCAACUGCUCAGUAGAUACGUGUGGUUAGUGGCUGCCAUACUGGACAGCUCGGGGCAUUUUCACUGUCAAAGAAAGUUCUAUUAGACAGCCCUGCUUGAGCCCUGUUUCUUCCUGGCCUUCGGUUUCCCUGGGGAACUUAUCGACAAUGCAAGCUCCUGGGCCCACCCCCAGACCUCCUGAACCAAAAGCUCCAGGGCUGGCCGUAUGAUCUGUGUGGAUGGCAAACUCCCCAGGCCAUUCUGGGACCUAAGUUUAAGAAGUGCUGUCCUCGAACUUUCUGACUCUAAGCUCCUGAGCGGGAGUCAGACUUAGCCCUGAGCCUGCACUUCCUGUUCAGGUGUAGACACUGAACAGGGUCUCAAACACCUUCAGCAUGUGUGUUGUGUGCUCACAUGCCACACAGUGUCUCAUGCACACAACCCAGUGUACACACCACCUACGUGCACACAGCAUCCUUCCACACUGUGUAUGUGAACAGCUUGGGCCCUGCAAACACAACCAUCUACACACAUCUACACCUCCAAGCACACACACACAUGGUCUGUGCCAUGUCACCUCCAUAGGGAAAGGCUUCUCUCCAAGUGUGCCAGGCCAGGACAGCCCUCCCAGCCAUGAAUCCUUACUCAGCUACCUCGGGUUGGGGUGGGAGCCCCAGCCAAAUCCUGGGCUCCCUGCCUGUGGCUCAGCCCCAGCUCCCAAGGCCUGCCUGGCUCUGUCUGAACAGAAGGUCUGGGGGAAGCGAGGGGUGGAGUACAAUAAAGGGAAUGAGGACAAA